UCGGAGCAUGUGGAUAUGUAGACAUUUUUUUCCCACAUGAACCCAGAAUCACCAAUAUGGCUUGUGCUUGAAAUUUAACCCAAUGUUUAUGCUUAGUGUCCAUAUAUACACAUGAAGCACUGAGUUUCAGAUGACACUCAAGACUGUGGAGGGUCCACUGCAUCCCCUCCAACCAAGGACACAAGGUAGUUUUAUGGAUGACAGUCAGUGAAGAACUAAACUCCAACGAGCCACGUGUCCUAGAUCCAAUCUCCUAGCAAAGCUCUGGUUUCACAUCAGUGCCUGUCAUCAUGCAAAUUUAUUCUCAAUGGGAUUACUCGGAACUAUGCUGGUACUUGUUCCUGCUUGUGUAUCCAAGCUUGUCCCUCCCUGGGCUUUGCCAGCUUAGUUUCCCGGGAAAGAAGGAGCUGGAGACAUUGCAACAGACCCUGGACAAGGGAAAAAUGUUCUAAAGUUGGCCCUUGAAAAGCAUUUCUACCUGGAUCUUCAGCAUUAGUCAUCUGAGGAUAAGACACCUUCAUAUACUGGAGGUGCUAAUCUCUUCCCUCCAUGUAAUCUGGUAUAAAAGUAAAACAAAAAAGAUAAAACACUAUCCUUUACCCAAUUAAAAAAUAAAAAGUAGUCAAAUAAAAAAAAAGGCCCA
rnacentral:lncRNA from 1 species